ensembl:processed_transcript Gm42890 predicted gene 42890
UGUUGCUAAUGUAGAGAAGGAGCCAUUGGGCUGGUGGGCUGCUAGUGUGGUUUCUGUGAGCCCUGUUCCAUUUUCUUUGCCUUUCCUUGGGAUUGUAAUGGUAGUACGACCUAAACCCCAAGUGGCCAUCAGGAUGCCUUCUCCCCUGUCUCAGUUUACAGUGGGGUCAGGGCUGGCCCUGAUAGAUUUUGGUUGUGGAAUCUAUGGACUUUAUCUUCUUUUCUUUUUGUGUCCUCUCCUAGUGUCCCCCUCCUGACUUCUCUCAGUGAAGACUGUUCACUUGCUGUGCUGGAUUCAAGCCUUUCUGAGGUGUUUAGAAGUCGAGCCCACAGAGACUUUGUGAGAGAUGCUACGUGGUCUCCACUCAAUCACUCCCUUCUUACCACAGUUGGCUGGGACCAUCAGGUCAUCCACCAUGUUGUGCCCUUAGAGCCUCUCCCAAACCCUGGACCUGACAGUGUUGUGGAGUAGAAUGGAUUUCAGAAAAACCAAAACAAGCCCUCCGUCUGGCUGGUUCUUCUGAUGAAAGACAGUGAUGGUAAGGAAACCACUUCUCCUCCAGAGCCAGGGAGAUUCUCUGGCUAGGAAAUCUCUAUUCAGCGUCUCCUGAACCUCUGCCUGUCAUGGCUCCUUGGCCAGAGGUUAUUAAUCCAAUACAAUCCAACACAGGACUCUGGUUAUUUGCUGUUUGUAUGUAUCCUUAUGUGCCAGGAUCUACUCUCAUGAGGCAUUCUUUCUUCUCUGGAGCCUCAGCAAAAGGUCAGGAUGUCUGGGGGCAUGCAUAAGCAGCUUUGGUGUAUGUUUACGGGGGAUAUGGAGGCUGUUACAGUGGCCUGGUCUCUGAUUAGGCUUGUUGACUCACUCUACUGUCAAGAAUCUGAGUUCCCUUCUUGCCCCAUGAUCUCUGCUGAUUAAUACUUGCUCUUCUUGCCAGGUACUGCCUACAAACUGGUGUGCUAUUUCACCAAUUGGGCACAUAGUCGGCCAGGCCCUGCCUCCAUCAUGCCCCAUGACCUGGACCCCUUUCUUUGUACGCAUCUGAUAUUUGCCUUUGCCUCAAUGAGCAACAAUCAGAUUGUGGCCAAGAAUCUGCAGGAUGAAAACGUUCUCUAUCCAGAGUUCAACAAACUCAAGGAAAGGAACAGGGAGCUGAAAACACUGCUGUCCAUCGGAGGGUGGAACUUCGGCACAUCACAGUGAGCUAUUCUGUUGUUGUCUUCUCUCUGGGAGAUAGAGCAAGAUGGGCUGGAAGUGAGAAUAAUGGUGUGUGUUUGUGUAUGUGUGUGUUCCCCAGGGUUGUGUGGAAAAGCCAGAUUGAAUAUAAGGGCAGCAAAGCCCGUAUUGGUACUUUCUCAAGUCCUGCAUUCAAGGGACCCCUUUCCACAGAGGGUCAUAGGAUUUUGGAAAAGAAGGUCCCAUAUGUGGUAAGAAAAGGGAUAGGUAAACAUGAGAGGCAAUAUGACACAUUGAGGGCCAAGAGUGUAACACAGUGGUAGAGCCCUUACUGAACAUAACAAAGAGCCUGGGUCUGACUCUUAGCACCCUCUGAAAACACAAAACAAAACAAAACAAAAC